GCUCCUUCAGCCCUUCCCCUAAUUUUUCCAUUGGGGUCCUGGGCUCAUUCUGGACAAAAAAUGGGGAAGAGACUAAAGGAAAGGCCAUCCAGAGACUGCCCUACCUUGGGAUCUAUCCCAUCUAAAAAUACCAAACCCUGACACUAUUGCUGAUGCCAAGAAACCAGGGCUUGGAUUUGGCUGUGUUCCUCUGCUGAAGGUUACAGCUACUGCCGCACAGCUGUCUUUGUACAGAUCUCCCCAGGUCUCCCCAGAUAAAGCCACACUGUAAGGUUCCAGAUGGCCACACUUAUUUGGAGACAGCAUUUAACACAAUGCUACUUCUACCUCUAUGAGAACCUGGUGAAGAGGACACAGCCAGAGCUUUGCUCUAAAGGUUCCAAAUGCACAUCUAACUAACCAUCCAACUGGUCCCAUCAGCCA
rnacentral:lncRNA from 1 species